AUUGAACGCUGGCGGCAGGCCUAACACAUGCAAGUCGAACGAGUGGCGGACGGGUGAGUAAUGUCUGGGAAACUGCCCGAUGGAGGGGGAUAACUACUGGAAACGGUAGCUAAUACCGCAUACCAUCGGAUGUUCCCAGAUGUGAUUAGCUAGUAGGUGGGGUAACGGCUCACCUAGGCGACGAGACCUAGCUGGUCUGAGAGGAUGACCAGCCAGACUGGAACUGAGACACGGUCCAGAUGCCUACGGGCGGCAGAAGUGGGGAAUAUUGCACAAUGGGCGAAAGCCUGAUGCACACAGGCGGCGUGUAUGAAGAAGGCCUGCGGGUUGUAAAGUACUUUCAGCGAGGAGGCGUGACUCUCAGAAGAAGCACCGGCUAACUCCGUGCCAGCAGCAGCGGUAAUAC
rnacentral:rRNA from 1 species